GAUUUCUGACCUGAAACAUUUUGCCGGCCACGGUUUCGUGUGUUAGUGCUUGAUGUUCUGGUCAUCCUUCCAAUUGCUAUUCACCUUUCUUCAUUAAUUGGUGAGUGGUAUUGGAUCUUUUACUUUGAAAAAAUUAGAGUGUUUCAAGCAGGCUUUCCGCUAUGAAUACAUUAGCAUGGAAUAAUAAUUUAGGACUUCGGUUCUAUUUUGUUGGUUUCUAGGACUGAAGUAAUGAUUGAUAGGGAUAGUUGGGGGUGCUAGUAUUCAGCGGCCAGAGGUGAAAUUCUCGGAUUCGCUGAAGACUAACUUAUGCGAAAGCAUU
rnacentral:rRNA from 1 species